rnacentral:rRNA from 1 species
GAUGAACGCUGGCGGCGUGCCUAAUACAUGCAAGUCGAGCGACGCGGGGACGGGGGAGUAAAACGUGGAGAGACUCCUAUAAAACUGGGGUCACUUCGGGGAACCGGAGCUAAACCGGCUACUUAUAGAUGGUGCCGCGUGGCAUUAGCUAGUUGGUAGGGUAACGGCUUACAAAGGCAAAGAUGCAUAGCCGACCUGAGAGGGUGAUCUGCCACACUGGAACUGAGACACGGCCCAGACUCCUACGGGAGGCAGCAGUAGGGAAUCUUCCGCAAUGGGCGAAAGCCUGACGGAGCAAUGCCGCGUGAGUGAUGAAGGUCUUCGGAUCGUAAAGCUCUUUGAUUAGGGAAGCGGUACCUAAUCAGAAAGCCACGGCUAACUACGUGCCAGCAGCCGCGGUAAUUC